rnacentral:misc_RNA from 1 species
GAUGAAGAACGCAGCGAAAUGCGAUAAGUAGUGUGAAUUGCAGAAGUACCGUGAAUCAUCGAAUCUUUGAACGCAAAUUGCACUCUCUGGUAUUCCGGGGAGUAUGCCUGUUUGAGGGUCGCUUAACAAACCAUCGAUUUCGUUGCUUUUUUUUUUUUAAAAAAGUGAUGUUUAUCGGAUUUGAGCCGUCUUUUUUUUUAUAUUUAAGUGGCUUAAAAUUGAUUUUUUUGGUACGAUCGAAGCGUAUUUUUAUGAUCAAUUUUUGGUUAAAGAAACGCACACGUACCGUUAUUUAUAUGAUGUAAUACGUUUGACUAUUGGAUUUAGUUCAUUCGUAUACGAUAUUUUUCAAUAUUUGACCUCAAAUCAGGUAAGAACACCCGCUGAACUUAAGCAUAUCAAUAAGCGGAGGA